CCCUUCCGCGCAAUAUGAAAGUCAAUCGGAAACCGGAAGUUCACUGUAUUGAUCAGCGCCACAUUUUUGUCUCCCGAAUUCAUUUUGGAUUUACCUGUAAAACAAUGAAACUAGCUCCACAAAUCCCGAGCAAUCGUUCAAGUACCCGAGGAGAAUAUCAAAAUUAACCUGCAAAAGAUGCCCAAAUAUGACAAAAUUAUUGCAAGUUAAUUUUCCAAUAAAUUCCGACUGAGUGGACCCAACACGUUUAUUCCGUGUUGCCCCCAUUACCAAUUCCCGAUGAUGCACAACAAACUUCAGAGUAGUACCCAAGUGAAUACGGUUCGCGUCGUUUAACACGGUUAACCGUUUUUAUUCCAUGAAAAAAAAUUGUAGCGAGAGGAAAAAAAGUAAAAAGUGGAAGUGAUACUGCAUUACCAAAAUACCAGUAAAAAUAAUAAUUGUGUAAUUAUUUAUAUUCCUCUGAAAAAUGUCGAAAAAUUACAAUUCAAUGUUAAUAUUACGUAAGGGUGAAUUUAUUUAACAUCUAAAUGAUAUAAAAACAGUUGAAAUAAAACUGUGAAUAGUUAUUGGGUGUUCCAACAUUGAACAAAACUCGAGGGAAAAUCGAGUGUGUGGUGUGUGUCUGGUAGGUGAUAUAUUUGUGUUGUUGGAGGUGUCAUAUGCCCCAUCUGUGUCUAUGCAUAACUUGAGAGUUUGGAAGGUGUUUUAAAGAAACUUUUGCUGUGGGAUAUUCACGAGGGAUAAGGAUUUUGAAAAAACAGAAAAAUGUCGGAGAUAAUAUACCCUCAGGGGUGUAGGCCGGUCAGUGAUGAUCUGGGAGCUGAUGAGUUAAUCAGGAGAUUGAAGACACUAGCUCACACACUUCAGGCGAUGGGCCAAGACGAAGGUAUGUACCAGCAGUACAUCCCCCUAGCCCUCCACCUUGCUGAGGAGCACUUUCUCAGCCACCCAAGCAAAGACGUCCAACUGUUAAUCGCCUGUUGCAUCGCUGACGUCCUCCGAGUAUACGCCCCAGAAGCCCCCUAUAAAGACGCUGAUCAAGUGAAAGGGAUCUUCCUGUUUCUAAUAAAACAGCUGGCAGGUCUGAAGGACCCAAAAGAUCCAGCAUUCAAGCGUUACUUCUACCUGCUCGAGAAUCUUGCCUAUGUCAAGUCUUUCAACAUGUGCUUCGAGCUCGAGGACUGCCAGGAAAUCUUUUGCGCACUGUUCUCCCUGAUGUUUAAAAUAGUGAACGACGAGCACUCGGGUAAAGUAAAAAGUUUCAUGUUGGAAGUCCUCUGCCCCUUGAUAACAGAAUCAGAUACAGUGAGCAACGAGCUCCUGGAUAUUAUCCUAAUGAACAUUGUUGAACCCAACAAAACACAAAAGAAGAAUGCCUACUGGCUGGCCAAGGAACUUGUGGUUAAAUGCAGUGACACACUUGAACCCUACAUUCAGGCAUUCUUCAACCAUGUCCUCAUCCUGGGAAGAGAGGAGAAGGGUCUCCAGAUCUGCAAGAAAGUUUACGACUUGAUUUAUGAACUAAAUCACAUCUGCUCCAGUAUUCUACUUUCAGUCCUUCCGCAACUGGAGUGCAAAUUAAAAUCAACCCUCGAGACUGAAAGACUGAAUGCAGUUGCACUGUUAGCGAGAAUGUUCUCGGAGAAGGGUUCCCAACUGGCAACUCAACACACUCAACUGUGGCGAGCAUUUUUGGGUAGAUUCAACGACAUCAGCGUUGCAAUUCGCAUCAAAUGCGUUCAGUACUCCAUGCACUUCCUCCUUAAUCAUCCAGAGCUCCGAAAGGACAUCACCGAUACCUUGAAAAUGCGACAGCACGAUGCAGACGAGAAUGUUCGUUAUGAAGUAGUAAUGGCCAUUGUAUCAACAGCACGAAGAGACUUUGAAGUUGUGUCGGACAACGAGGAUCUCCUGGAGUUUGUGAAGGAGAGAACUCUCGAUAAAAAAUUCAAAAUCAGAAAGGAGGCCAUGUCAGGAUUGGCGAUGAUCUACAAAAAACACCUGAAUGAUGCUGAUGUGCCUCAGGCUACGAAGAAGGCAGUGACAUGGAUCAAGGACAAAAUCCUCAACGGUUACUAUAUGACUGAAAUGGAUGAUAGAUUACUGGUAGAAAGAUUGCUCAACACCUGCCUGGUACCGUACCAACUACCUGCUGAAGAGAGAAUGAAAAAACUGUACCAUCUUCUGGGAACAAUUGAUGAUAAUGCUUCAAAAGCAUUCGUUGCACUUCAAAAACAUCAGCUUGCUGUACGCAGGGCUGUGAUGGAGUGGGUGGAGAUUGUCAAGAAACCAGACGCUAAUAAUGAACUCAUGGCAAAGGUUCAUCAGAUUUCUCGCUUCCUUCCAGAUCCCAUGAAAGUCAUGGAAUUUCUCCAGAAAUUCUCAGCACACAUGAAAAAAGAUUCGACUCUUCUUCAAGGAAUGGAAACUAUUGUUCAACCCACUGUAUCAUGCAAAGAGUGCGCUGAGACAAUUGCAGCUGUUCUGAAAAAACUUGGUCAGCCAGUAAUGACUAAUCUCUAUUAUAAUACCAUUAAAAAACUCCUGGAGCGAGUCAGUUCUGUGCUGAUCGAUGAGGAAGCUAUUAGAAUAUUCAUCGGUUACGUUCACGAUUGUCUAAAAGGUGGUAAUGUCAUUGAGGAAAUUGGCUUGAAUCCCAGUAAUGCUGGUGAAAAGGGUCUUCGUCUGUUGGUGAUGCUCUCCUUCGUAUUUGGGCCACAUUUCCUUCAUAAUGACAUUCUCAUGCAGCUUGUUGAACUCUUGGAGAUUGAGGAUGAGAUGGUGGGUUCAUUGGUCCUAUCAAUUUUUACAUUCCUGGGAAAGUACAAGCCCCUGUGCGAAGUUGCACCUGAUAUUAUGGCCAAAAUGGUGCCAAUAUGCAAAAAUUUUGCCCUGUCAGGUACUCCGAAACAAGCUAAACAAGCUAUUCGCUGUAUUUUUGUCAACAUGGUUGAUAUCCAUGACACAAUAUUCCCCGAUAUAAUUGAUAAAAUCAAGACAACAUUGACACCAACAUCCAGUGACUACAGAACAUCGAUAGUUACACUGGGACACAUUGCUUACAAUCUACCAGAUAAGUAUCAUACACAGAUUAAGAACAUGGUAUCGAGGAAAAUAGUGAAGGAACUGCUCGUGAAGGAGACAACAGAGUCAACAGCCAAUGCUAUCGAGAGUGACUGGUGCAAAGAGGAUCAAUUGCCCGAGGAAACUCGAUGUCGAUUGGAGGGACUCAAGUGUAUGGCAAGGUGGUUGCUUGGACUAAAGACAGAUCAUUUGUCAGCACAAAAAACAUUCAGAAUGUUGAAUGCUUUUGUUGGUAAUAAGGGUGAUCUUCUACAGCAAGGGAGACUUAGUCGCGCUGAAAUGAGCUGGUUACGCCUACAGGCUGGUUGCUCAAUGCUAAAAAUAUGCGAACAAAAAGGGGUUGGAGAUCAGUUCAUUGCUGAGCAAUUUUAUAAUCUAUCAUUGCUUAUGGUAGACGAAGUGAAGGAAGUCAGGGAAGCAUUCUCAACUAAAUUGCACAGAGGAUUGGGUACGGGUAUUCCAAACAAAUGCUUACCACUGGAUUUCAUGGGUUAUUAUGCACUUGGAGGAAAAGAACAGGAUAAGAAACAGAAAGCACAGUUGAAGACAUUUAUGUCGACUGACAUCAACAGGAGAAGAGAUUACGUGAAGGCUCUUUCUCUUGGUACUGUUGAAAGGGCAAUGGGACAAUUACCCCAUAUUUUACCUGAUUAUAUGCUGGUGUUUGCUGUUCCAAUUCUGGCUCAUGAUCCCGAAUUUACAAAUCAUAAGGACAUUAGUCAACUAAGAAUUAUUGAACAGUGUUUGAGAUUUAUUCUUGAACCACUCAUCACCAAAAAUGAAUAUUACUGUUAUGGAUUUUACAAAAAUCUUAUUGAAAAAAUGAAGAACCACAAGGAUGCGGUAAGACCUGACGAUGAUGAGAUGAAUUACAAAUUGUGGACUGUCUGUGAUCUUGCUAUGAACGUUAUUUACACUAAGACGACGAAUUUUGAUAUGAAGGAGUUCCCCAGUGAAUUGAGAAUUCCUACUAUGUACUUCAAGAGGGCUGAUGAACUCAUCAGUAAUUCAAUAAAUUAUUUGCCAGCCGAGAUGCAGAUUAAUAUGACUAGUCCUAAGGGAAAGGGUGGACUUAUUCAUAAUACGAAUGAGAGGUCGACAAGAAAGAAGGGAAAACAUGCCAGGGAAACUGUUGGUAUUGGACCCAAUGAAACUGAUGCAAGGAACUGGUUAAAUUUUCAAGCUGCAAAUCGGGGAGAUGGAGUGUAUUGAUGCACAGCCCGCUGAAGCAUCAGAAACGAGAAUUCAACUUCCAGGAAUGGAGGAAGAGAUUGACGAACCACCAGCCAAGAGAACAAGAGAAUCCGAGAAACUGAGUAAAUAAUUGGGAAAUGAAUCUACCAAUUGGUAUGAAAUAACGUUCUCAUCAUCUACUGUGGACAUUUUGAUGACAAUGAGGCAUUUAAAGAUGAUAAAAAGCGAGCGGACAUCAGCAUCAAUGGAAGAUGUGAAAAUAAACAUUACAAAUUAGAAAACAGAAUAUUUUGGUUAUGUACAACAAUUAAUAAUACCUAAGUCGUUCGCGUAUGUUUAGAAACUUAAGCUGUUAAGAUAACGAUAUAAUUGGAAUUUAAAAUCCAUUGACAAUUUCUUCAAUUUCAAUAUUCCUGUUCCAUCGAAACUUCAGAUUUAUGUUUUAUGUAAUUUUUAAAACUUGUUUGAUGUAGUUUUUUUUUGUUUAUUGGGUGAGAAAGAUACAGACACACAAUAAUGUCAUUAUUACAUCUGAAGACUUACUUCACUUCUGAUUAAGGAAAAACAAUUCUCAUUAUCAACACAUUGAUGAACCUCUAUCGAUAUAUUUUGAUCCUUUCAAUUUUACUGCGUCAUUUUCAGUUAGGCCAUUUAUUCAAUAGAUUCGCUAGCAAAUCCAAAUUGCGAGACAUUUUUCUAUGGAAAGUAAACACGAAAAUUAUUAUGAAGAUUAUUUUUAGCUUUGUUUUCCUAUUAGAUCAGUUUCAAUUGAAUAACACGAGGGUAUUUCCUUACCUCUUAAUAAUGAUAAAUUGGAAAUGUCAAGAGACCUUUGUUGUAGAGAAAAAAACAUAUGCAAAAGAGGUUUUCUUGGCAUUUUGUCUUGAAACCAAUAAAUUGCUAUUGACUUGGAUUCUUUAUCGAUUUAACAAAGAUCCCAGAUUUCAUUCAUCUACUUCCUCAAUUCAUCACUGAGAUCUACUUCUCAAAUAAUCUCUAGGAAAACAAAACACAAGGGAAUGUGAAGGGCGAGGGCCACGGGCGCCGAAAUGAUAAUGUCAGCUGGUGGCAACAAACAUACUUUGACAAUUCCUAGGUCUAAGAACAACCGUGAAAGGACUGUGUCGUGGAGGCGUAAUGGCCGUAUGAAAAUCGAUUCCCAGAGCAAGUCUAUUUGAAGCUCUCAUUUAAACAAUAUAACGUACGACAUCAUUUGAAAUUGUCAUAUCUUGAAUGUUCAUAUAAAUAUUUAGAUGCCUGGUAUAUUGUUGCGAGAAGUUUUUUUUAUUCGGAUUAAUAAUAAAGGACAUACUUAACUGUAAUUGAAAAAUAA